rnacentral:lncRNA from 1 species
AGAGUGGCCACGGCAGCGGAAGGAGCCUGCACCUUGCUGGUCCAGGGACAAGCAGGAAGUUGGGAGUGGACACAGCGUCCACUGCAUGGGAAGCCAGGAAAGCAGCUUUGGGUCUGUGAUGGCAUUGUCAUUAGCCAUGGAGGGUCUGAGACCCACACCUUUACCUGCUCACUUACCCCAGGUCCCAGAGGAUCCCCGGCCCUAAUGACACACGUUCUGGACCUCAAACUUCUCAUCAGUAGAAUGGGGAAAGUGGCAAUAUGGUGACCAGCAGGUGCCAGCACUCAAUGCAUAGAUGUCUCCGAAGCAGUGAUGUCUCUUAGCAUCCUUGGUUGUUAGGAAGGGCUGGGACGCUCAAAGAGAAACUGAGCUGCUGUGCCAAGCCUUCCUCACCACAAUGGACCGAAGACCCUGCAACAGCCAGAAGUGACUUUCUCCUCCUUUGGCUAUUUCUAUCAGAUACACCAGGAAGUUGUGAGCUACCACACAGUUGCUGGGAAUUGAACUCAGGACCUCUGGAAGAACAGUCAGUGCUCUUAACCUCUGAGCCAUCUCCCCAAGUUUUUUAUUCCAUACAUGUGCAUGCAGUGUCAAUCGAGAACUGAAGAGGGCACUAGACUCCCUGGAACUGCAGUUACAGAUGGUUGUGAGCUACUGUGUGGCUUCUGGAACCUGACCCCAGGCUCUUUGCAAGAGCAGUCAGUUCUCUUAACAUCGGAACCACCUCUCUAGCUCUGUCAUUUGACUUUUAAUUGUUAACGCUCACUUCUGCCUUAAAGAAGUUUUUUUUUUUGUUUGUUUCUAUAAAGCCAAAUUAGUCUCCCCUGCCCCUUUCUGAGGGCUUUGUCUGAGGACUUCUCAAGCAUUAAAACUAUUGUUCAAAAUG